UGAGCUACUGUACUGAGCUUACCCAUUCGAAAAUAUAAAUCUUGUCUUCUUCAAGAGCAUCAUCAUAGUUUGGUCGGCCAGCUAAAGUCUCCAAUAAGACCACGCCAAAUGCAAAGACAUCAACUUUCUCGGUCAAACGACCUCUCAUAGCAUACUCAGGUGCAAGAUAACCACUAGAUAAAAGAAAAGCCAUAAAUCCCGUUAGCACAGGUACGAAAAUAAUUUGUAAACAUGAAGGUGCGAAAGAUGGAAUGAACUUACAAGGUACCAGCAACUUUUGUGCUAACAUGCGUCUUCUUGUCAUCAUAAAGUUUAGCUAGCCCAAAAUCUGAGAUCUUAGGAUUGAGAUAAGCGUCAAGUAAGACAUUACUGGCCUUGAUGUCCCUGUGCACAACACGGAUACUGGACUCUUCAUGAAGAUAGGCCAGACCUCUUGCAAUGCCUAAGCAUAUCCCAAAGCGUGCUGGCCAAUCUAUGUUC
rnacentral:sRNA from 1 species